rnacentral:rRNA from 1 species
GACAGAGGGGGCAAGCGUUGUCCGGACUAACUGGGCGUAAAGCGUCCGCAGGUGGCAUGGCAAGUACGGUGUGAAAUCAGGCGGCUCAACCGCCUGCGGUCAUCGUCGACUGCCAAGCUGGAGGGCUGGAGAGGUCAGUGGAAUUGCCGGUGUAGUGGUGAAAUGCGUAGAGAUCGGCAGGAACACCCAAGGGGAAGCCAGCUGACUGGCCAGCGCCUGACACUCAGGGACGACAGCGUGGGGAGCGAACGGG